rnacentral:lncRNA from 1 species
AAAAAAAAGAGGCAGAAGCAUCAAAUGAAGGACUGUUUGAAUUGGAAAACUAAUGAGUAUUUCAGGUUAUUCAAAUCCACACUUAAUCUAACACUGGAAGCCGUUCCAGCAGCAGCAGCACCUUGAGGAGGACAUCGGGAGGAGUGCUCAAACAUAAGAUUGAAGUCUGCCAAACAUGAUGUCCACCAAAUUUUUACUGCUAAAAAGUUGAGGUCACCCAAUGAGAAAUACAGAGACAGUAAGAUGAUCAAAAUACCUCAGGAGAAGAAUGAAUGAACAAUUUGAAAAAAAAAAAAAAAAGGGAGAAAAGCACUGUGCACUCCAACAACAGCAUCUUAAGUGCAAAACAUCAUUGUACAGAACUUUAUUACGAAGUGAUAAAUCAGCACGCUGAGGCUUCAUUAACUUCAGUGGAACCAGACUGAUUUAUGCCAGCUGAGUCAAUGGCUGCGUUUAUAUGUCUGCAUACGUCAAAAUUAAUCAUGUUUGGAAAAAUAGAAGAUUCUAGGAAUAUAUCCCAGAGGAGAAGAUAUAUAUACUUAUUUAUAAAUUCUACUAAUAAGGUGAUACUUAGCAGGCCUUUCUACAGGACUCUGAAUGACACAGCUGUCCUGAGGUGAACUUCUGCCCUCCUGCAUGGCAAGAAACAGAUAUGCACGUCCUCUGUCAGCACUCUCCAUCUCCAGCAUUCAGACUCCUGCAACCUUCCCACUGGUCCACAUCCUCACGCAGUCUUCCCAGUCCUCUGCAGCAGGCAGCUCCACAAAGGGUCUCACCUCGUCAACAGCCAUUUCUUAGGAGUGUGAGAUUAGCAGAGCGGCAGCUGAAACAAAAGCUACCUGUUAAACACACUGAGGGUCAACUACAGGAGGAUGAUGCUAGAUGCUUCAAAAACAAGGCCUCAAGGUACACAGAAUAGAUGCAGAUUAUUAUUAAGAGUGACUGCAGCCCCGGUUUUCCUAAACCUCAGCUCUAGUGUCUAAAUCUGUCUUCCC